UAAAGCUUAACUUACACUACCCCAGAUACCUUUAAUUUAUUUUAACCCUUCACUACUACUGAAUUAUUUUAUAAUUACUAUAAAAGAUAUUAUGUUAGAACUAGUAACAAGAAAUUUUUUCUCCUAAAUGUAAACAUAAACCAGGACUGGACCCUCCACUGGUAAUUAACGUAAAUGAUAAAAUUAUAGUAACACCCAUCAAGAAUACCCUAUAACUUACUAACGUUAACCUAACACUAGAACAUUACAGGAAAGAUUAAAAGAGAAAGAAGGAACUCGGCAAACUUUAGCCCCGCCUGUUUACCAAAAACAUCGCCUCUUGACUGAAGAUAAGAGGUCCAGCCUGCCCAGUGACUAAAUUAAACGGCUGUGGUACUCUGACCACACAAAGGUAGCGUAAUCACUUGUUCCAUAAAUGGGGACUUGUAUCAACGGCAUCACGAGGGCUGUACUGUCUCCUUUCUCCAAUCAGUGAAACUGAUCUUCCCGUGAAGAAGCGGGAAUUAACUAAUAAGACGAGAAGACCCCAUGGAGCUUUAAACUCACUAUGCACCUCUGCCCACCUAUACCAUUUCAGCCUAUGAGACCUGCAUUAUAGCUUUAGGUUGGGGCGACCACGGAGUAAAAAUUAACCUCCACGACGAAAGGGCUACGCCCUUAUCCAAGAACAACAAUUCUAAGAAUCAACAGACUGAUGUUUAAUGACCCGAAUUUCGAUCAACGAACCAAGUUACCCUGGGGAUAACAGCGCAAUCUACUUCGAGAGCCCAUAUCAACAAGUAGGUUUACGACCUCGAUGUUGGAUCAGGGUAUCCCAGUGGUGCAGCUACUACUAAAGGUUCGUUUGUUCAACGAUUAAAAC
rnacentral:rRNA from 1 species